CACGUAGGGCGCAAGCGUUGUCCGGAAUUAUUGGGCGUAAAGAGCUCGUAGGCGGUCUGUUGCGUCCGCUGUGAAAACCCAGGGCUUAACCCUGGGCUGGCAGUGGAUACGGACAGACUAGAGGUAGGUAGGGGAGAAUGGAAUUCCCGGUGUAGCGGUGAAAUGCGCAGAUAUCAGGAGGAACACCGGUGGCGAAGGCGGUUCUCUGGGCAUGUUCUGACGCUGAGGAGCGAAAGUGUGGGGAGCGAACAGG
rnacentral:rRNA from 1 species